rnacentral:rRNA from 1 species
AGGACGAACGCUGGCGGCGUGCUUAACACAUGCAAGUCGAGCGAUGAAGCUUCUUCGGGAGUGGAUUAGCGGCGGACGGGUGAGUAACACGUGGGUAACCUGCCUCAUAGAGGGGAAUAGCCUUCCGAAAGGAAGAUUAAUACCGCAUAAGAUUGUAAUAUCGCAUGAUAUAGCAAUUAAAGGAGCAAUCCGCUAUGAGAUGGACCCGCGUCGCAUUAGCUAGUUGGUGAGGUAACGGCUCACCAAGGCGACGAUGCGUAGCCGACCUGAGAGGGUGAUCGGCCACAUUGGGACUGAGACACGGCCCAGACUCCUACGGGAGGCAGCAGUGGGGAAUAUUGCACAAUGGGGGAAACCCUGAUGCAGCCAACGCCGCGUGAGUGAUGACGGUCUUCGGAUUGUAAAGCUCUGUCUUCAGGGACGAUAAUGACGGUACCUGAGGAGGAAGCCACGGCUAACUACGUGCCAGCCGCUGC